rnacentral:lncRNA from 1 species
UCAUAAUAAAUAAAAAGCAACUCUUCAUUGAUAAAAAUCAAAAGCUGAGUUAAAAAAUUUCACCUUUUGCCAAUAAGCUAAUCAUGAUUUAUUCUCAUUGUCAACAUGUUACAUUUUGUAAAACAUCACUAGUCAAAAGUUAACAUCUCCCUAUUAUUCUUAAAAGUGGGAGAGACAUUGUGUAACCAAAACAAUGCCCUGGCAAUUAGCCAAGAAGCAGCAAGGUCACAGCAACAACACUAAGCUGAAACCACUGAAGGACAGGUAACUAAGGCUUUGCCGCAUCAAUCUAUCAAUCUAUUUAGUAUGAAGAAAAUUGAAACUAGUAUUACUCCUUGUUUACUUUUGGCAACUGUGU